rnacentral:rRNA from 1 species
AUUGAACGCUGGCGGCAGGCCUAACACAUGCAAGUCGAGCGGAUGAAGGGAGCUUGCUCCUGGAUUCAGCGGCGGACGGGUGAGUAAUGCCUAGGAAUCUGCCUGGUAGGGGGGGAUAACGUCCGGAAACGGGCGCUAAUACCGCAUACGUCCUGAGGGAGAAAGUGGGGGAUCUUCGGACCCCACGCUAUCAGAUGAGCCUAGGUCGGAUUAGCUAGUUGGUGGGGUAAAGGCCUACCAAGGCGACGAUCCGUAACUGGUCUGAGAGGAUGAUCAGUCACACUGGAACUGAGACACGGUCCAGACUACUACGGGAGGCAGCAGUGGGGAAUAUUGGACAAUGGGCGAAAGCCUGAUCCAGCCAUGCCGCGUGUGUGAAGAAGGUCUUCGGAUUGUAAAGCACGUUAAGUUGGGAGGAAGGGCAGUAAGUUAAUACCUUGCUGUUUUGACGUUACCAACAGAAUAAGCACCGGCUAACUUCGUG